GGCCAUGUGAAGCGAACGCGGUGAACUGAAACAUCUAAGUAACCGCAGGAAAAGAAAUCAACCGAGAUUCCCAAAGUAGUGGCGAGCGAAAUGGGAUGAGCCUUGCACUCUUUAUUUGUAUUGUUAGCCGAACGCUCUGGAAAGUGCGGCCAUAGCAGGUGAUAGCCCUGUAGGCGAAAACAGUAUGAAAGAACUAGGUGUGCGACAAGUAGGGCGGGACACGUGAAAUCCUGUCUGAAGAUGGGGGGACCAUCCUCCAAGGCUAAAUACUCGUGAUCGACCGAUAGUGAACCAGUACCGUGAGGGAAAGGCGAAAAGAACCCCGGGAGGGGAGUGAAAUAGAUCCUGAAACCGCAUGCAUACAAACAGUCGGAGCCUCGUAAGGGGUGACGGCGUACCUUUUGUAUAAUGGGUCAGCGACUUACGUUCAGUAGCAAGCUUAACCGUAUAGGGCAGGCGUAGCGAAAGCGAGUCCGAAUAGGGCGUUCAGUUGCUGGGCGUAGACCCGAAACCAAGUGAUCUAUCCAUGGCCAGGAUGAAGGUGCGGUAACACGUACUGGAGGUCCGAACCCACUAACGUUGAAAAGUUAGGGGAUGAGCUGUGGAUAGGGGUGAAAGGCUAAACAAACUUGGAAAUAGCUGGUUCUCUCCGAAAACUAUUUAGGUAGUGCCUCGUGUCUCACCUUCGGGGGUAGAGCACUGUCAUGGUUGGGGGGUCUAUUGCAGAUUACCCCGCCAUAGCAAACUCCGAAUACCGAAGAGUGCAAUCACGGGAGACAGACAUCGGGUGCUAACGUCCGGUGUCAAGAGGGAAACAACCCAGACCGCCAGCUAAGGUCCCCAAAUAUAGCUAAGUGGGAAACGAAGUGGGAAGGCUAAAACAGUCAGGAGGUUGGCUUAGAAGCAGCCACCCUUUAAAGAAAGCGUAAUAGCUCACUGAUCGAGUCGUCCUGCGCGGAAGAUGUAACGGGGCUAAGCUAUAUACCCGAAGCUGCGGAUGCGUGCUUUGCACGCAUGGUAGGAGAGCGUUCCGUAAGCCUGCGAUGUGCGUUUGAAAAGCGUGCU
rnacentral:rRNA from 1 species